rnacentral:rRNA from 1 species
GACGAAGGGGGCUAGCGUUGUUCGGAAUUACUGGGCGUAAAGCGCGUGUAGGCGGUUGUCCAAGUUGGAUGUGAAAGCCUUGAGCUCAACUCAAGAAAUGCAUUCAGGACUGGAUGACUAGAGGACCGGAGAGGAUAGUGGAAUUCCCAGUGUAGUGGUGAAAUACGUAGAGAUUGGGAAGAACACCAGUGGCGAAGGCGGCUAUCUGGACGGUUUCUGACGCUAAGACGCGAAAGCGUGGGGAGCAA